GUUGUAGUGUGUCUCAUCCCAGACUCACAGCACCGGAUGCACCAAAGCAUCUCCCUGACUACUAAUGAGACCAAAAAUACACCAGCAGGUCAGGGGAAAGGCCAGACAUUGUAUUAUACAAAUUCAAAAAAAUCCUCAGCCUGUUAGACCAAGAGAUCAGUGAGACCUGCAGAAGCUCGGCUGAAUGCCAAGGGAAAGGAGGAGAAAAGCAUAAAUGAGAAGGAGAAACAGAAGAGAAAAAUAGGAGAGAAGAGGAGGACAAACAGAGGCAAAAAAAAAAAAAAGAAUGACUUACAGGAUGUUGGAUUUUCUUUAAUACUUUUUUUUUUUCUUUUUGUCAUUAUUGGGAAGAAGAAAGAGACUGUUGUCAAGGGGUGGUGACUGGGUCAGAAUCUUUCAGAUUUGCCAGACAGGGUCUUUGCAGUAGACUGACAGAGAAAAAAGAAACAUGCUAGAAUAAUUAUAAAGGGUGGAGCUGUCAAAAAAUCUUUGACUCACUGGGUACCUCCCUGUAACGCCAAAAUGAAUCAUUCCUAACUAGAAUCAUCAAUUGUCUUAGUGUACUUGUAUAAUAAGGCCAAAGUAUAUGCCACUGUACCCAUUUUCAAAAAGGAAAGGUAAAUGAGAAUGAGAUUUCCUGACAUGCUUCUAACUUCUCUAUAUUUGUGACAAUACUUCAGCAUGAUUUUUAUAUACUAAGCGAAUUUUCCCUUGUCUGUCUUCACUCUGCUUACAAAGAUUUACAAAUAUAUGACUUAUGAAAGUUUUGCUAUGAACACAUCAUUUUCUCCAUACAACUCAGCGAUGUCUUUGGAGGAUACUUAUUUCAAGCAGUUAACACCUGACCCCAAUUUCUGUGGGUAAUUAGUGAGCUAGAUAACCACACAAAGUGGGUAAUUAUUUAGUACCCAAGGGUAC
ensembl:lncRNA